rnacentral:tRNA from 1 species
GGAGCAUUCGUCUAUCGGUUAGGACGCUAGACUUUCACUCUGGAAAGAGGGGUUCGACUCCCCUAUGCUCUACCA